CCUACGGGCGGCAGCAGUAGGGGAUCUUGCACAAUGGGGGAAACCCUGACGCAGCAACGCCGCGUGAGUGAUGAAGUUUUUCGGUUUGUAAAGCUCUAUUAUCAGGGAAGAAAAUAACUGUAAUUGACUAAGCAGACCCGGCCAACUACGUGCCAGCAGCCGCGGUAAUACGUAGGGGGCAAGCGUUCUCCGGAUUUAAUGGGGGUAAAGGGAGCGUAGACGGUUAUGUAAGUCUGGAGUGAAAGCCCGGGGCCCAACCCCGGAAGGGCUUUGGAAACUGUGUAACUGGAGUACAGGAGGGGCAAGCGGAAUUCCUAGUGUAGCGGUGAAAUGCGUAGAGAUCAGGAGGAACACCAGCGGCGAAGGCGGCCUUCUGGACUGAAACUGACGCUGAGGCGCGAAAGCGUGGGGAGCAAACAGGAUUAGAUACCCUUGUAGUC
rnacentral:rRNA from 1 species